rnacentral:rRNA from 1 species
UGUGAGGGGCAUGUGAGGGCUGUCGCUGACUCAAAGUCGUGCACGCCCGAGUGUGUCCUCUCACAUAAUAAUCCAUCUCACCCUUUGUGCAUCGCCGCGUGGGCACCCUUUGGGAUCAUCUCGGAGGGGGCUCGCGUUUUCACACAAACCCCCCUUUUAAAAGUGUAGAAUGACCUCAUUUAUGCGCUAACACGCAAUCAAUACAACUUUCAACAACGGAUCUCUUGGCUCUCGCAUCGAUGAAGAACGCAGCGAAAUGCGAUACGUAAUGUGAAUUGCAGAAUUCAGUGAAUCAUCGAAUCUUUGAACGCACCUUGCGCCCCUUGGUAUUCCGAGGGGCACACCCGUUUGAGUGUCGUGAAAACCUCAACCUCCUUGGUUUCUUCUGGAGACCAAAGGCAGGCUUGGACUUUGGAGGCCUUUGCUGGAACCUCUCUCUUUUGAAGGCCAGCUCCUCUUAAACGAAUUAGCAGGGUCCUCUUUGCCGAUCCUCGACGUGUGAUAAGAUGUUUCCAUGUCUUGGUUUCUGGCUCUGUCACUUUUGGGACCCGCUUCUAACCGUCUUGACCUUGCAUCGAGACAAUGUUCGAGCAUGUCUCCCUUCUCGGGAAGCUCCCUCGACCCCACGAACCCUUGACCUCAAAUCGGGUGAGACUACCCGCUGAACUUAAGCAUAUCAAUAAGCGGAGGAAAAGAAACUAACAAGGAUUCCCCUAGUAACUGCGAGUGAAGCGGGAAAAGCUCAAAUUUAAAAUCUGGCGGUCUUUGGCCGUCCGAGUUGUAAUUUAGAGAAGCGUCUUCCGCGCUGGACCGUGUAAA